CAGAGCCCGCCAGCCGCUAAGCCAGGGCCACACCUGGGGGUGAUUUUAUGCCUCACCUCCAGUAGGCACCUUGGUCUCUUUGGGCUAAUCUCUGGCUCCUCUGCACUAACUCUUGCUCCCACCCAGCUAAUCCUUGCCUCGCCCUGGCUGCCCCAGGGGCUGACCAUUAACAGCCAGCCCAUCUUGGGGGGCUCCAGGCUCCUGGCCUGGCUCUGACCUGCUCUUAAUUAACCUCUCCUUCACCUGACUAACUCCUGCCCCCUGAUCUGUUCCUCUCAGCAGAAACUAACGGCUUGUGGAUUUCUUUCUGACUAACAACAGGUCUAACACUCCUCGUCACUAUUACUAUUAACAGCUUGGAUGUCGGCAUGGCUGGG
ensembl:misc_RNA